AGUUACUGGUGAGGUGAAAAAGUGUCAGUCUGGGUGGAAAAGGAAACAAAACUAAGUGAAUAUAGUAUGAGAUAUGAUGCACAUUACAACUAGCAAGGGUGAGCGCCUGCAUAGCUUGGUCUCCUUCCUCUCUCAGAUGUGUUGUAGAGAAGAUAGACCUUUCCUUCUGCCAUCUCUGCUAAUUGAUGAUGUUUGAGCUCUUCCUUGGGGAAGACGUCAGCAGUUCAUUCACUGCAGUUGCCAAUCACUGAAUCAGACUGGCUUUCCAGGCAUUCUAACUGAAUUACAAUAGACAAAAAUCAGUUGACAAAGUCAGCAACGUAGGCCAUGUAAACCUCAUGAUUCCUUAUAGUGAAAUAAACAGUGAGGAAGUGACGUAACUGGCAUUGAUGAUGGAAAAAAUCAAAAUGAAGAUUUUUUUCCUACAGCAUCAAUUUUAUAUUUUCCUAAAAAAUACUGUGAAAGGUCAAUGGCUACUUAUCCAUAACUAUUGUUUUAUAUAAUGUAUUUUUCAUUACUGGUAGGAGAAGGAAAUCAUAGAAACAAAAGAAAGUAAAUUUUUAGAUUUUAAUAGG
rnacentral:lncRNA from 1 species